UCUACAUAAGUUUAAAAUUCAUAUUCAUAAAUAAAAAUAUGUCCAAAGCCAUCAACAUACAAAAUCUAAAGAUGUCUAUCAACUGCUAAAGAUUAUAGCCAUAUGUAUAAACCAAACAUGUCCAAAACCAUAAAAACAUAAAAAUCUAAACAUAUGCACCAUCUGCAAAAGCUUGUAGCCAUUCCCUACGCAUAGCUAAACGUCGAACCAUAAACUUUUUUGCUUCGAUAGGGUGCGCCAUAAGAUAGUCAAAUGCAUUUUCUAAGAAUUUCUCCUCAAAUCCUUCCAUGCUAGUUACCUCAGAAUACAACUUUUCAACAAAGCUAUCAUCAACUAAAGCUUCAGUCAAUCUCCCAACUUGUUCAGUCAACCCAUCAACCUUGGAGAGAACUUCUUCCCAUGGCCUACUUCGUUUUCCGCGUUUAUUUCUUUCUGAUGAUUCUUUUCCAUUUGUGACAUCAUCCACAUUUUCAGACUGAACAUCUGAGAUAGAUUUUGCAAAACUUCCAGUUGCUUGAUCCUCCCCACAUACAAGCUUCAAUUCCUAGUAUUGCUCAAGUGGGACAUUAAUUAAAUCUUUAGCAUAUGAAUUAGCCUGCAAUAUUAUUACCAAAUAGAUAUAUAUACCAUCAUGAAAGCAAUAAAACAGAACAACCUUAUCAAUACUUUCAUUUUAGAAACUGAGAAAAUGUAUAUUAACUAAGUCUCUUUAUCAUCAACUGUCAAUGGUAUUAAAUGUACACAACAAAUGAAAAGGGUAUUUUUGAAAAUAAUAUUACAAUUAAAUGCAAAUAAACCAUUUUCCACCACUUUCUUAAUAUGCGUGAAAACGCCAAUCAACCUAUAAAAGUGGGACGAAUGGAGUAACAUUAAGCAAGGAAACCCCAAAAGUAUAAAAACACCUAAGUAAAAAAAAUUCCAUUUAAGAAAUUCAAUCAACCUGGACCAAAAUUUGAACUAAAGCAGACAAUUAAGUCAUGUUGAAGUUUCGGGAAUGUCCGAGAACAUAGGAGCAGCAAGUGUAGGGGUUGAUGUGAACACAGAGAUUAAUGUAUACAUGCAAUUCUUAGACUUUGCGUUAGACUUUCAAGUUUAAUCAGGACAAUACAGGCAAUUGUUUCAGCUAGCCGCAGGUCUGAUAGGUGUGUGAUGUGUAACUCUGCGGAGGAACAAAUUAAUGCCUAGCCUUUUCCAAUUACAAUAGAACUUAAGUGGGAGAAAAUUAUGCAUGUUUUAUGCAUAGCAGUUCUCUUCAGUACUCAUUACCAUUAAAAUGAGUCUGUAUCACUUGAUGUUAUUGGUACAUAAUAACAUAUAAAUUUCAGCAUUGGAUCUGCUAUAUGAUGAUGAUGAUGAUGAUGAUGAUGAUGAUGAUGAUGAAUGAAGAUUAUAUGAUGACGAUCUUGCAAAAAAAUACAAUGUUGCAAAAAAGAAAAAAAAAGGUAGAGCACUGAAUUUAUAUGUACCUCAAUAAAUUCCAUUGCAACUUCUUUUCCGACUUUAAUUAUUUUCUGAUCAUCAUCCCAACCCCAACCACUUUUACUGCGAAGAUACGCUAUCCUUGAGUAUUUCUUCUUCACCGUCUUCAUACGAGAGUCAACGUUAUCCAUUGUGCAUAACGUUUUACAGUAAUCCGUGACGGCUUCUGCAGCUUUUGCAUAAACAGCCUUUGGAAAAGAUUUACCAUGUUUUCCCCAUUUUUGGCACAGUCGGCUAGAAAUGAAAUCAAAAACUUGUCUGUUUUGGCGGUCCACAUAAAGUUUUUCUUUCCUUUCUUUGAGGUUUGUGCUUGAGAUUCUUCCAUUCCUAAAUAAUAACAUAAACAAACCUUUUCAGAGUAAAGACAAAAUGCCGAGUAGAACAAACCAACAAAAUUUUAUUGACUAACUGUAAAUUUAUAUAAAAUUUCGUGUAGGAAUCUACAACUCAACAGAUCAAGGGAAGUCAUUUUAAGUGUACUACAAUUCAUGUACUACAAUAUUGUCACCACUAUUCAAACAUAACUUCCAUGAACAUGAGCUCAAAUAUUUAUGAAACACAAAUGAAUAUCUAAAGUUAUUUUUAAAUAAUAUAAACAAAUUACUGUACUGCUGAAGGUGUUUCGCAGUUACAUGCCACAACAAAGAGACAACAAACAAUGUACUAACAACGCAAACUAUAGAAAACAAAAAUAAUAGAACUAAUACACAAAAAUAUGGUGGUAUCCACUCUAACUGCAUCCCCCCGAAUCUAUACACAUCAUCCAAAAUACCAACACUAGAAGUGUGUGUAACCAAGGAACUGUCAAGGAAAAUAAGUCAUUUGUAUUUUGUAUGUAUGCAGGUGGAAGUACAAGACAUUCUACAAGGGACUACAACCUGUGCAGAUAUAGUGUACAUUGUGAGGUGGCCACUGGCCAGAUAGGUCUGGCAAAGGGUUUUCUCUCAUAUAUUGGCAAUACUGCACCUAGUGUCUACAAUUUCAUUAUUGUUAAAGAAAUGAGAGACUGAUAUGGGAGUUGGUACCAUAUGCAGUCCUAUAAUAGAGCAUAUAUAUGGAGGGUUAGAAAUGAGGUGGUGUUCAUGGGGAAGACAACUAUAGUGCAACAGAUAUGGAUGCUGAGGUACUUAUAGUACUAGCUAGGUCUUUCCAUCUUUGAUAAACAGCUCAGGAAAGAUUACACUUUCAGAGAUACGAUGGUGGCUGGUGGACAACUUGAUUUGAGUAACUGUAUAAGUUUAGGUCUUUUGAGGAAGCAGUCAAUCUGUGACAGUAAGCCCUCGGCAUUGAACUUGUGCAAGUUCCUGCACUUAUUGAUAAUCUUUUGUUAAAGUACCAGCUACACCUACACGCUACACCUACACCACCCGUACGUAAAGCCAAGCCAGCAGGCCACCAGUAAAAGUGUAGAAGGGAAGACACUACACAUGGAUUGACAUACUGAAAUAUCAAAAAGUUUGUGUUGUGCGUAUAUGAGUCAUGACUCAUGACCCUGAGUCUUCUUUACCCUUUGGUGAUCUUUAAGGGUUGUUAACGAAUCACCAACUCAGGAUGAGUAAAUGACAGUAAUGCCCAAACUUAGAGACAGACAAUUGGUAUCACAUUAAAUUUUUUUUAUCGAUAAGGAAAACUGAUUACCAUACGAGGAGGGCUAGCAUUUAGAGAUUCAAAACUGUAACACAUGGUUCCCCAAGUCUAUCCUCAUCAACAUCCACCAGGCCUAAAUGAAUAACCAAUGAACACAUACAAUAUAAGAGCAUUCCCAAUGGUAGGUUUUAGCACACUUUUAGUUAACUUUUAGUGAAAACACUUGCCAAUGGUAGCUUUUAACACACUUUUCAAGCAAAACACUUUUAACUUCUUGGCAAAUUUGCCAAGGAGUUAAAAGUGCCACGUAGGAAUCCAUCCGCCACAAUUAGUGCGGUAUGGAUCCAUACCCCACAAUAAGUGCGGUAUGGAUCCAUACCCCACAAUUAGUGUGGUAUGGACUCAUCUAAAAGAAGAUCCAUCCGCCACAAUGAGUGCGGUAUGGAUCCAUCCGCCACAAUGAGUGCGGUAUGGAUCCAUACCCCACAUAGAUUACGGUAUGGAUAAUCCACCAUUGGAAACACUAAAACCCUUUUUUCGCUAAAACCAUUGAAAACCCCAAAAUUCCUUAAAACCAUCCUAUGUGGCACCACUAAAAGUGUUUUACCAUUGGGAAUGCUCUAACUAUCCCAAUCUCUUUUAGCGCAACAAUAGACCAGAGGUAUAGAGUUGGUUUAGUAUGGAGAACUCAAGACGGCACACAACAACGUUGUUGACACUAAAUUACCACCAGUCAUUGUUAGUGAGAUUGUCUUUCAAAAUCUUCUAAAUUCGCCUAAAAUUGAUUGAAUCUAUUGUUUUUUCAAACAAUAACGCAAACCCAUUUCUACACUUGAAUUACCCAAGCCAAACCAUAGCAGUAAAAAUUAUUUAAAAUAAUAGAAAGAAAAUAGCAGAUUGUGAUUGUGAAUUUUCAUACCGUUGGAACAACACUAGCAAGUAGCAACACAAGCAAUCACAAGUGCCUUAGUUCCUACCCUAACCCCUUCUGCAAAACCAAAACCAAAACCAAAAUCAAAAACAAAAUUGAUAGAAAUGAAGAAGGGGGGUUUAGGGGUUUGAGAAUUGAGUAGUAAUAAGUAAUAACCUUGAACAUAGUUUUUGGAAUUAAGAAUUUGUAAAUCUGGAAUCACCCCCAAAGCAUGUUAGCAAAGAGGAGGAGAGAGAUAGAGAGAUGAAGAAGAAGUACAAGGAAGAAGGAAGAAGACACGGUUGAGAGAGAAGGAAGAAAAUGAUAGAUCGAAUAUGAAUCAGUAAAGUUGCAAAAGAUGAAGAACUGGUUAAUGGGUUUUAUAAUGAAAAUAAAGAGAGAAGAGAGAGAAGAAGAACACAACUAGUUUGAGAGUGAAGAAGUAGAAGACUGGUUUUCUUAGGUUUGAUAGAGAUGGGAAGCAGAGAAAAGAGAUCGAGACAGAGAGAGAGGAGAGAAAAAAGAAAGCGGUUUCCAUAAAAUAAAAAAGGUGUCCGCUUUCCUUAUUUUCGGGGAAUCUGCUUUCCAAAGUUUUAGUUUUCCAAUUCGAACCAAACACCCGGAAUUUGUACUUUCCAGGAAAACGUUUUCCUUUCCAACGUUUUCCUUUCCCACCUUUUCCCUUGAACCAAACAUACCCGAUCAUGAAAACCUAUCUAAAUGUUAUAAAUGCACAACCUGCUUAAUGGGCAUUUUUUAUACCUCGUACACAGUACACUAAAUUCAACAAAUUUUACAUAGUUAGUAAAUAAAUUCAUUUAAAAGUGUCUUUUACUCUUCCCACUACCCACAGGCCCAUGGACCUAAAAGCUGAUAUCAGGCUUCCAAAUUCUAACCCAAAAUAAACAGUUGAAAUGUUAAAAUAGUAAAUAACCGAAAAAUCAAGACCAUUUCUUAAAAAGAGUAAGCAAAAAACCAGAAAAAACCCUCAUACCUUUUUAUUACCCCACGCACACUCUGUUUAAAGAAAAAAGCAGAGUAAAACAGAGCAGAAAAGAACAACAGAGACCAAAUAAAAAAAAAAACCCUAAAACCUUUGUAUUUUCUCUUCCUCUGUUUCAUAAAUAAACCUUGUAUGAAGAAUUUCCAUCUUGUUAUUCUUCAAUUCUUGUAUUAAUAAUGGAAGAAUUAAGAACAGAGUCAGUUUUACAAGUAGAUCAAUGUUUAAAGUCUUUACCUUUAGCACCAACUUAUUAUCCAACCCUAGUUGAAUUCCAAGACCCUAUUUCUUAUAUUUUCAAAAUUGAAAAAGAAGCUUCUCAAUAUGGGAUUUGUAAAAUUGUUCCACCUCUUCCACCUGCUUCAAAGAUUACUUCGAUUACUAACUUUAAUCGAUCACUUUCGCAAACAAAUUCUAGUUCUGAUUCUAAAACUUUGUCUACAUUUACUACUCAAGAACAACAGUUUGGAUUUUCUCAAGGGAAAUCUAAACUUGUUAAGAUGAAUUUAUUGCAGAGUAGAGAUAGUUGUAGUUUUAAGCAAUUUGAAGCGAAAGCGAAGGAAUUCGAGAAGAGUAUUUUGAAAAAAAGUGGAAAGAAGAAGAAGAAGGAUUUUUCUGAGUUAGAAAUUGAAACCCUUUAUUGGAAAGCUUGUUUUGAUAAACCCCUUUUGAUUGAGUGUGCAAAUUGUAUACCUGGUUCAGGUUUUGUGCCAAUUAAUGGGAAGAAAUUGCGGGAAGCAGGGGAAGCGUCAACUGUUGGGGAGACACCAUGGAAUAUGAGAGGUGUUUCGAGAGCAAAUGGGUCGUUGUUGAAGUUUAUGAAGGAGGAAAUACCUGGUGUUACUUCACCAAUGGUAUAUUUAGCAAUGAUGUUUAGUUCAUUUGCUUGGCAUGUGGAGGAUUAUGAGUUGCACAGUUUGAAUUAUAUACACUUGGGAGCAGCCAAGACAUGGUAUGCAGUGCCCAAGGACGCGGCUGUCGCAUUUGAGGAGGUGGUCAGAGUACAUGGAUAUGGAGGAGAGGUCAAUCCUCUUGGUAAGUAUCUAAUUUCAAAGAAUCCCCUGUUUAUGUUAAUUAAACUCACAUUAUCUCGAAGUCAAAGUAGUCUAGCCGUCACUCAAAAAAUCAGAUGAACAAAUUGGACUGUGAAUCAAGUUUACUGAUGGUUUAAAUAGUUUGAUGCACUUAAAUAAGGAAUGCUCUAUAGUCAUACUGACAUUUUAUGUCGUAGCAACCAUAAUAUUAAGGAUGUGAAUACCAUCCACAUCAAUUUGCCGGUUUGGAAAACUGACAUUCUGGUUAGUGAAUUAUUUGUUCACAAAGUUCUUAUUUCAUUUCAAUAUCAUCUUUAAAUGGAAUAAUGAUUUGAUUUUCCAGUUAAAUAAAAAAAAUUUGGUUAUUGGAGUAUACAGUCUUCUGGGCUUUAAGUAUAUACACUUCAUUCUAAAUUCAGUUCCUGUUAUAAGUGACUGAACAUGGAUGACUUUUGACUUUUCUAUACUGGGUUUCUUUGAUGCAUAAAGUUGUUUUUUUUUUUUUUAAUAUACAGGGUCUGUUUUGAUUGGGAAAUUCAUUCCCGGUAAAAUUUUGAGGAAUAUAUUUGUAAUUCCAACAUAAGAUAAAAAGAAAUCAUAACAUUCUGAUCUCCUUUGGGGUCCUCUGAAUCUUCUCCUUCGGUUUGAUAUUCCACCCUUUGACCUCCUUAUUUACCGGUAAAUUGGUUUACCAGUCUGAAUCAAACAGACCCUAGUAUUACAAUCAUUUUUCUUAAUGGUACCGUAGGUUGCUUGACUUCAUCUUGUUCCAUUUUCAAUGUGUUUCUCAGUCUAGGUUUCUGGGAAUGAGAGGUAUGAUAAAUUGCUUAACCAUGAGCCUGUAAUGGUAAUGGAGCAUGCAUAAAGGGCUACUGCAAUCACAAACACAGUACCCAAUUGGGUCACAAAUUACGUUAUGAUAGGUCAGCUUGCCACCAUCCAUUAGUAAUGUCUAGGAUUACUAUCUAAUUAUCCAUUUUCAUUAGCGAAGUUGAUAGAAGAGUCCAUGGGAGCAUCAUACGUAGACACCAAAAACUAGCCAUAAUCAUCUGACCUUGAACAUAUAUCAAAUAGAAUAAUACCUUCACUCGAAUGCACCAUGUCAAUAUGAAGGAAAAAUCUAAUUUCUUCUUGGUAUGAAAAGCUUUACAGAUGAACUUUCCACGCCAUAUCAACCCUUCUGUGAAUAAAAUCAUUUAUUAGACUGUGCUGCACUUAAUGCAGAUCUAUUAAUAGAGAGAACUAAUCAAGAAAAACAACCUAGAAUCCUACCAAAAUGGAGACUAUUAGGUAAAGAUCUUUGGCAACAUGUAAGUCAACGAUGUAUGUAAAGACCAAGAAACAAAAAAGAUUACCAAAGAUGAGAUCAAUCAACCCAUCUAUUUCCUGCAAACGGAGUUUAGAUAACCUACAAAUUUUAGGUGCUUGCUUUUCGGCAUGGAGAUUCCUGCGAGGAUUCUUUCCCAGACCAAAAUGUGGGGCGCCUCUUUUGAUGAGGACUGCUGAUUAGUCAUGUUGUAGGUUGUAUUACACAUUAAACCCAGUAGCCUUCCCCUGCCUUUUCUCUGCUUAUGAUCCUCUCUUAAAUUAGUAUUAUACUAAUUUUUGUCUUUUGUGUUAUGAGUCCGGGGAGCUGGGUAGCACGGACUCGGACACGGAUACGGACACGGACUCAGACACGGACACAACGAUACGACAAUAUCUAAAAAUAUAGGACACGGACACGGCAUGGACACGGGAAUUAAAUAAUUUUUUUUUAAUAUAUAUGUACAAAACAUGUAUAAAACACUAAAAUCAAAUGAGAUAUCAUAUCAUAUAUUCAUAUUUCAUAGUUAUUUCAAAUGCAUAACGCCACAAACGACAAAAUUAUCAAAACAUAAAUCCUUCCCUCUAGACUCUAGUUAAUUACUUAAUUAGUUAUCUUCACCAUCCAAAUCCAAUAACUCAACAUCAUCAUCAACUACAUCAUCACUUGUGCACAACAUAGCUUCCAUUUCCGGCUCAUCAAGAGAGAGGUCUGCCAUUUCAAGAAUCCCAAUAUCAUUCAAAGUAUCAAAUCCAUCUCCUCCCACGUCCCACAUGCUACUCUCACCUUGUUUAUAUUCCGAAGAUUGCCUUGAUAGAAGACGAAGGUUUGAAUGAACAAAUACCAAGUCUUCCCCUCUUUGUGGUGUUAUCUUGUUCCUAAUCAAAGAGUUGAUAAAGGAGUAUGUACUCCAAUUUCUCUCACAACAAGAAGAAGAACAAGGUUGACCAAGUAAUUUCAAGGCUAGAUUUUGAAGCAAUGGUGUCGAAGAUCCAUGUGUAACCCACCACAAAUCCGGAUCCAUAUAUCCACGAUCACUAAUCGAAUCACUACUAGCAAACUCCCUCAAAGAAGCGGAGAACUUAGCAAACUCCGUGUUAGCUUCUCUACGAUCGAGGGUGGAAGGAAAAUACCUCUCAAAGCAUUUUUGCCGUUCGUCUGAAAUCUCCUUGUCCUUAUGUGGGGGAACCCGAUUAGGUGACUCACUAAGCCAUUCAACACUAUAAUACCUAUAUCAUUAUUUAUAGUAAACCAUUAAUAUAAAAAAAAAAUGAAGACAUGCAAGUAAAAUACAAAUAUAUAAGUAAUAGACUAAUAGUGAUAUGAAUAUUACCUAGGGUUCAAAGAGUGAGCCAAACAAUGAAGAGGUGUGUUACUUUUAGCCCAACGAUCCACUAGUAUAGUAUGCACAACGGAAUAAAAUGACGAAUCCUCGUCAUCUAGUUUUCCCUCAUGGCGGUAAAUAGCUAUCUUCACAGAUUCUAUCAUACUGUCCCACCAAUCAUACACCAAGUGAAGACAUGGUCUAUCGGUAUCCGCCUUCCUCAAUAUAUCAUAUAUAGGCUCGGUGAAAGAAAGUAUGUAAGCAAUCUUAUCCCACCACAAAUCAUUCAAAAUCUUCUCCUUGAUCAUGGCAGCUUUAAGAACAUCAUCCUCCCUAUAGUUUGUCCAAGUUGGACUAACUACCAUAUUCAAAAGCCCUUGUUUGAUCUUCUUGAAUCUUCUAAGCAUGAUAAUGCUUGAAGCAAAGCGAGUUUCUGCAACCGCAAGCAUCCUCAAUAUAGUAUGAGUAUUAAACAUUGACAACCGCAUAGAAUGAUUCAUAAUGAAGUUCUUGAUUGUCAUGACUUCUCCAGUAAUUUCUGUAAUCCAACUACACUCUUCAUAUGUUUCCGCAUUGCUUUGUGUAUUCUUUACAGCACAAAUAUUCUUCAAAGCAAGAUUCAAAGUAUGCACCACACAAAGAGUCCAAAAAAUAUGAGGAAAUUGGUUUUCAAUUAACAACCCUGCACUCCUACAUACAGGUGCAUUGUCUGUAAUCACUUGAACUACAUUAAGAGGCCCCAACUGAUUGAAUGACUUCUUUGAGCAAGUUAGAAAUAAAAAACUUAUCUUUGUAUUCACCCUCACAAUUGACCGCUUGUAAGAACAUUGGACCACUUUCACUAGCCGCCAUAAAGUUGAUAAUUGGCCUUCUUUGAGCAUCUGUCCACCCAUCACUAACAAUGCUCACACCUUUCUCCUUCCAAGCCGACUUAAGAGGUUCAAGCAACCCCUCAAUGUGUUGUCUCUCGUUUUGUAAAAGUGUGGUUCUCAAAGCAUUAUAACCAGGAGGAACAUAACCAACAAGAUUUUUGCUAUUCGCGGCUCUAGUAUACGAGCGAAUGUAGUAUGGAUUCUUUGCAACAACAAACGACAAACCUGAUGAAUAGAACAUUCUUGCAAUUUCACAAUCUAAUUCAUUUCGAGCUUCCAUGUUAAAAGCUCUCUCAAGAGGAGAGUCACCCACUAUCUUCUUCCUCUUUGAUGGAAGAACAUCGAAACCUUGAAGACGAGUUCCAAUUGAAGUUCCUGUUGAAGCCGAAGAUGAAAAAGAAGUAGUUCGACUAGCGGAUGGUGGAAGUGGGACUUGUUUGGGUAAAGAUUGUUUCUUGCUCAAUUCAAACGCUUCAACUUCUCUUUGCAUCAUGACCAAAUCAUUGUUAGAUACUUUGGUACAUUUAAUAGUUCCUGUACCACCAAUCUUCAACAAAUGCCCUUUUAAGCGUGCAUAAGAACUCGUAAUAGUUUUAUUGCAAUAAGAACACAUGAAACGGACAUUUCCUCCUCCCUGUACCUUCUCUAUAACUUGUACAUACUUCCAAAGAGGAUUCUUGGUGCUGUUGUUGGAUGGUUCUCCACUCAUGGUUUCAACAAUCUAGUAUCCUGUAUCCCCAAUUCAGUGAAAAACUGAAAAAUCCCCAAUUCAGUGAAAAAAAUCCCUAGAAUCCUAAAUGGCUAAAUCAAUAAGAAGAAGAACAACAACAGAUUCAGAAUUUCAGAGAAGUGGAAGAAUGACUGAAGGAGAAGAAGAAAUUUAUAAAAAUAAAUUAUAUACCUUGAAGAAGCAGCAGUAUAGAUCAAUGGAGAAGUGGAAGAAUGACUGAAGUAGCAGAUCGAUGAAGAUUGAAGAAGCAGCAGAUCAACUAACACUCUAAUUAGUUGAAGAAACAACAGAUCGAGGACGAGAGAGAAGUUUGAUCGAGAGAAAACAGAAGUUUGAUCGAGAAAGAAAAUAGAGAACAGUUUGAUCGAGAAAGAAAAGAGAGAGAAGUUUGAUCGAGAGUGAAGAGAGAGAAGUUUGAUCGAAAGUAAUAUCUGUUGUCUAAAGUCAGAUCCGUGUCCCGAUCCGUGUCUGAUCCAAUCUGCACGUGCGACACGGCACGUGCGUGUCAGACACGUGUCUGAGCCGUGUCCGUGUCCGAACCGUGUCUGACUCUGCUACUCCACCUAUUUUUGAAGUGUCCGUGCUACCAGCCGGGGAGUCGAUUUUCUUACUCUGUUUGGGGUUACAGUACUUUCUUAGGUCUGCUUCUUUAACAUGGGUAGGGCCUGAGUCGGUUAGUGAUCAUCUAUUGAUGUGGCGUCAAUUAGGGUUCCUGUCUCAUUUCAGAAAAAAGAAUUUGGGGUAUCAUUCCGUAUGUGUAUGGGGUAUUUGGCUGGAGCAGAAUCGGAGAAAUUUUUGUCAUGAAUAUAUUAUGCUUGUUUAUCUCUCAAAAUACAGAGUUUUCUUUUUGUUUUUCUGUGAUGUAGGUAUAUCUGUAGGUCGAUAUGCUUGCAAUUGCUCUGUCUUCCUUUCUUCUUGUAGUACUUGACUACUUGGUUGCCACGGAACAUCUUUCAUUAGUCCCAGAAGUUUGUGGUUGUCGUUUUGGUUUUUAUUUUAAUCUAGUUGUUUUCAUUCAUCCUGUCUUGGUAUCAGAGCCGGCUCUACUGUAUAGUAAAUGUUUUACAUUCUUAAUGUUUGUCAACUGAUUGUAAUUAUGUCCUUUUGUGGCAGUUACUUGUGCGUCUCUUGCUGAAAAGACCACCCUUAUGUCCCCUGAAGUACUUGUUGGGGCUGGAAUUCCUUGCUGCAGGUGGUGUUUAAUAACUCUGUUAUAUUCAUGGGUGCUUAGAAGAUUUGCUUGGGUCUGUUCAUAGUAUUUUGUGCUCACCCUAUUCAUUUUUCUUCAUCAGAUUGGUGCAAAAUGCUGGAGAGUUUGUAGUCACAUUCCCGAGAGCCUAUCAUUCUGGAUUCAGCCAUGGUGAUACAUCUGGCUCUUUUACAUAUUUAUUUUAAAUGUAUUUCUUCAACCAAAGAAACACUAUCUUUAUGACAGGUAAUUGUAUUGGACUAUUGGAUGAUUAGACUCAGCAAACAUCUUACAUUUAUGAUGUACUUUCUGAUGGGUGUUAGACUAUUUUGAAUUAUGUUCUUAGAUAAAGGGAAUACAUUUUUGAAUUUUGUUCAUAUAGGAUUAUCUUUAAUAUAUAAUUCUGCAUUUCAGUUCAUGAAAAAUAUUCUGCUGACAUGCAUGUUUGAUAUUUUCUACCGGUUAAGGCCUUGGAAAUAUUGUUUCCAGUUCUAGGCCUUGUUUUGCUUUGAUAUGUGUUUCCUAGAUUAAAUGACAUAUAAAUGUUGCUAAAAGAAUGAUAAACACCAAUUAAAAUUACCAACACACUACCCAGUUAGGGUUUUAAUUCCACAAAAGGGGAAGAAAAACUUCUGCCACAAGGCUAGCUCCCUUACAUCAACAAAGCCCAACUGAACAUAAAUCUCUCAAACGAGUGCUGCUUCCCCACUCCUUCCAAAAUUCCGACCAAAUGGCAGAUGGAUUAUUUAAUUGAAAUGAUGUAUCCUCAAUUUGAGGUGUUUUGAAGCUAAAGUGCCUCUUACUAAUGUUGGAAGUAAGGGUAUUGUAGGCUUUAGGUGUGUGGUUUAAAGCUUACAAAGAAGCUAACUCUCUCUAUAUAUAGAGAGAGAAACCACAUAGACUUUAUAUCUAAGCUAUGUGGGACUAAACUACACACCUAAAGCCUACAAUACCCUUACUUCCAACAACUAACGUCUGUCCAAAUGUUUCUGCCGAUGUCUCACCAUACCGUUGUCGUGAAAAACAAGAAGUAUAGGAGGUGCCUAAAUAGCAAAGCACAAAUAGUGGGAAAUAUAUUUGGUAACAACUCAUUCCAUAUCUGUAGUGUAAAAAUUCACUCCUGGGAACAGAAUGCUUCAGCAGUUCAGCUUGUAACUUAUCUUAUUUCUUGUUGUACUGCUGUCAAUGAUGUUUUCGGGAUUUCAUUAUUUGUUAACAACUAAUCAUAGGCUUAUGUUUUAACACUUAUUGGUAAUGGCAAUUGAGUAAAUACAGAAAACCUACUGUUCUUCAUGUAAUUAGAGGUUCCCAUUCUUAAUUUUUUUUUUCCCCGUAUUUUAGGAUUUAAUUGUUCAGAGGCUGCUAAUAUUGCUACUCCUGAAUGGUUGAUGGUUGCAAAAGAAGCUGCAGUCCGUAGGGCUUCAAUUAAUUAUUCUCCAGUGGUGUCUCAUCUGCAGCUACUUUAUUCACUUGCUUUGUCAUUUUGUUCAAGGUUUGCUCUCCCACCAUUGAAGAAUAUUGCUCCAUAUAUCCUGUUCAUGAACUUUUCCUUUUAAUUACUUCUCAAGCUCUGGUCCUAUUGAGAAUGUUCAAGUUUGAUGAUCAGAACUAUAUAUACCCUACUUAAGUUCUUGGAGUAGUUUGGACCAUGGAAAAAGAUGGAUGCCAAGUCUAAACAUUAAAAUUUUGUUCCCCGAGAAAACCAUAGAUUCAUCAGUCAAACUACUUAUGAACUAUAAUUAUGCUGUAACAUGGCAUCUUCUGGAGUGGAUGCAUGUGUUUCCAUUUUGUUUUUGCGGAUUUGAUCAUUAGUUAAUGUACCUGGUUGAGAAACUAGGACUUUUUUUAUACCAUUGGGCUGCUUAUUUCUAAACUACCUAGGAGAUGAGGCCCUCAAUACGAGGACAACAAAUGUUGACGAAAUCUCAUUCCAGUUUUUAUUAUAGUUAUAUGGUCUCUCUUUUUUUUAUUGUUCUUACUAUUUUUUUUUUUUUUUUUGCAGGAUACCUUUGAGCAUCAGCACUGAGCCACGCAGUUCUAGACUAAAAGAAAAGAAGAAGAGCGAGGGAGAAACCAAGGUCAAAGAGCGCUUUGUGGAGAGUGUAAUACAAAAUAAUGAAUUUUUGCAUGAUCUUCUUGAACAAGGAUCUUCUUGUGUACUUCUCCCGAAAAAUUCUUUGGAUAUUAUAUGUCCAAAUGUAAGUCCUGGGUCCCAAGUAGAGAUAUAUCCUAGGUUUUCAGUCGGUGCAUUCAGUCCAGAGGAAGAAAUGGAAAGGCUUGAAAAUACGGUUUUGGAUGAGAUCAUGGUAGAUAAGAAUACACAGAACAGGGAAUUGAAUGGUUUCCGUUCAAUGAAACAAUAUUCUAGUUGUGUCCGUAAAGGAAAUAGACCUCCCUCACUUUCUGUGAAAAAUCCCCAAAAUGAUAAUGCUGAUUUUAGAACUUACCCUUCAGAAAGACGGAAUACCAACACUGAAAAAGAAUGUGCAUCUCAGACUGAUGGUUUAUUGGAUCACGAAAUGCUUUCCUGUCUGACAUGUGGGAUAUUGAGCUGUGCAUGUGUAGCUGUUGUUCAACCUAGGGAAGAAGCUUCCAAAUACAUUGUGUCUGCUGAUUGCAGCUUAUUUAAUGACUGGAUUGUUGCAUCUGGAGCACCUGACAACGAAUAUAGUAAUGCUGAUCGGUUUGCAAAUACUUCUGAACUGAACUCCUGCUCAGGUAUGUUGCUUUGAGACUAAUUCUUAUCUUUCCUAUUGCCACUGAAUGCAUCAUUUAUUCAAAUGACAACAUUAUACUGCAACCUGGUUGUGCAUGUGACACUCUAAAUGGCGACACAUGCAAAAAUCUUGGUCGUCAUUGUGUUUUGAGAUGGGAAAUUAAAGUUGCUGCAGUAAAGUAAUUUUAGAUUUUUAGAUGUGCUGUUAAUCACUGCAACUUGGUUAUCUAGAGAAAAAAAAUAAACUAAUUAGGUAAAAGGCUGUACACCAUGACGAUUAUGAUUUGCAUUCUGUGAUUGGGCUGUUGUUCAUCGAGGGAUAGCCUUGCGUGUUGACCUCUAUGGUUGUGCACAGUUGUACCCAACUAUCCAACUCAAAAUAUGGCACGUAAGUGUCACCAUAUAAGAAAAUCUUUCUUACCAAUUGUUUCAAUAUGAAAUGUAUAUCUCAAGACUACUUAUUUUAGCGCAGGACAAGUGGAGAAAAGUGAUUACAAUGAUGUAAAUGAUGUUACGGUCCAGUGCAGCAGCUACCAAGCUGAGGUUCUAAAUGGAAGGGUUGAAGUUAAUCCAGAUAUUGAUGCCCAAAAAGCCAUUUCCUCUCUUAAUCUGCUUGCUGCUGCCUAUGGAAAUUUAUCAGACUCUGAUGAUGAAAAGGCCGAAUCCGAGAUGCCUGUGAGCGGUGAUGAAAAUGACACAGUUUAUAAUCAAAAGGAUAGGUCUCGAUCUUCUGAUGAAACAUUCUCUUCCGCAAGAACUUUUGCAUGUGCUAGUUCUGUAGAUCCAGGGCAUCAUGAUGAUAGAAUGAAGAGUAUGUUUCACUCUUCAUCUAGUAUAGGUGGUGGAAGUGAAUUUUCUUCGCAGAUUUCUUGGUGCCCAAGUGCUUGUAGCAGAACUCAUGUUAGAGCUACUGCGAAUGGUAGAUAUGAACAAAAUUUGGAGAAUUCGCUUCAAAAUAAAUUGGUAAGUACAAUACCCAAGGUAUCAAAUUGCUUAAGCCUAGAAAGAUCAGCAUGUGAUCAUGCCGAUUUGUCAACGAAGUCUACCACGUUGGAUUCCAUGCCGAAUUGUUACCCAGGCCUCUCUAGUGCAAGGAACAAUUGUUGCAGUCUUGACAUACCAACCAAAGACAUACAAAUACCUUUCAAACAAAGAUCUGGUGAGGAUUCUUCCAAAGGGCAUAUGUUCUGUCUUGAGCAUGCUGUGGAAAUAGAAAAACAACUUCGAACAGUAGGAGGGGUGCAUGUGCUGCUUGUAUGUCAUCCAGGUUAGUUGUGGUACGUUUUACAUUACAUCACAAGGCAUUACAUUUCUUUUAUGCUUCCCAACAACCGUACUGCUUGUUUUUUUUAUCACUAUCUAUUUAUUUAUUUUUUAUAGCAUGCUAUAAGAUGUUAAUUGGGAGUAUUUAUUAUCUUCAUUCCCAUUCUCAUUGGUGGAAUUUCUUGUGAAUAGACUAUCCUAGAGUAGAAACAGAGGCUAAAGUGCUGGCGGAAGAACUAGGAAUCAAUUACAUAUGGAAGCACAUUCCCUACAGGGAAGCUACCAAAGAUGAAGCAGCAAGAAUCCAAUCUUCUCUGGGUGAUAAGGAAGCUGUUCCCAGAAAUGGAGACUGGACUGUAAAGUUGGGAAUUAAUCUGCCUUACAAUGCCAGUAUCAGCCAGUCUCCAUUCUACAGGAAGAAGAUGCCAUAUUCAAUUGUAAGCAAGGUGUUUGGCUGCAGUUCUCCCACCAACUCAUCAGAGAAACCUAAGAUAUUUGGGAAGAGGCCUGGGGUAAAUAAUAAAAUAGUUGUUGCGGGCAGAUGGUGUGGUAAGGUCUGGAUGUCUGACCAGGUUCACCCAUACCUAGCUCAGAGAGCCUGCCAAAAAGAGGAAACCUCAGCAAGCAUCCACUCUCAAGCAACAUCAGAGGCAAAGGUUAAGAUUGAGAUCAAACCAGAACUUAGUGAUGAGAGUGAACAAACAUCGACUUCUCAAUGGAAGUCCCUUCGAACCUUGACCACUACAGUUACUAGAAAAACUGAUAAGAAGAGGAAAGGCACACUCAAGAAAGGGGCAACCAAGAAACGCAAAUGUUCUCAACCAGACAGCCCAAUUGAAGCUGUAGAAGACUCACCUACACAUGAUUCCCCUCCACGGUGUAGGAGAAUUCUCAGAACUGGACAGGCAAACCAGAAGACAUUGCCUAUUUCCAAGAAACGUAAAUGUUCUCAACCAGACAGCCCAAUUGAAGCUGUAGAAGAUUCACCUACACAUGAUUCCCCUCCGCGGUGUAGGAGAAACCUCAGAACUGGACAGGCGAAGCGGAAAGAGGAGGCUGCUGGUGGACGCGGCAAACGCCUGAAGAAAAAGUCUUAUAAGCUCUUGGAAGAUGAAGAUGUUAAACCAAUAAAACAAGCCAAGAAGAAAAUUACGAAGAAGGCUUCAACCUGCAGCGAGGACAAAAUAAUAAAGGAUGAAGAGCAAGAGUACCAGUGCGAUAUAGAAAACUGUACAAUGGUUUUCAGAUCGAAGCAAGAUUUAAAGUUGCAUAAGCGCAACAUAUGUUUGGUUGAAGGUUGCGAUAAGAAGUUCUUAUCUCACAGGUAUCUGGAGCAGCAUGAGCGAGUCCACAUGGAUGAUCGGCCCCUAAAGUGCCCAUGGAAAGGUUGCAGGAUGUCAUUCAAGUGGGCAUGGGCUCGGACAGAGCACAUUAGGGUGCAUACAGGUGUCAGGCCUUAUGAAUGUCAAGAACCAGGUUGCGGUCAAACAUUCAGGUUCGUUACAGACUUUAGCCGUCACAGACGAAAGACUGGCCAUUCAGUGAAGAAGGUUGUAGAUGAUUAAUUUGGUCGGCAACAUGUGUGAAUUAAUACUGUCAGAAUAACCAGAUAUGACUACUAACAGAGCUCUUCUGUAAAUUAUAAAAUGGAUGGUUUGAGUCUAUUAGGGCCCUGUGGCCCCUUCAUUAGGCAAUGUAUUCGGUAUAUAAAGCUUCAUUAAUUAAAACAAAUGUAUUUGGAUAUCAAAACAGAUUUCAAUAAUAUCAGGUCAUAAUUUCAUAAUACAGUAGUAGUGAACUUGUACUCUGAAGGUGAGAGUUCAAGAUGGCAGAUUGUUGUACACACUAGUGAGAGUCUGUCCUUUCUGUAAGUGUGUUGUUGUUUAUGAGUUGAAGAUAUCAGUGUGUUCUUUAUUACUUUGCUAUUGCUUGUUUACUCGUUUGAUAUUAGUAUUAACACUUGUUGGGGUUUCAUGAGGCUGGAAUUCAAACACAAGGAAAUCCAAAAAGCAUAUGCUUACUAGCAUAUGGUCUAUAACCUCAAGAAGCAGAUAUAUUUGUUCCAAGAGCCUAGAUAUUGGAUGUUAUAUAGUCUGCAUAAUCAUCUGAUGCAAAUGGAUGAAGUUCUACUUGGCAGGGUAUGCUUGUCAGUUUGUGUACAACUUUAGCUGUUUCUACUAUAUAUUCUACAAUCUCAAGCUGGUUGUUGAUUCCGAUGAAUCUUUCAACUUGAGCUGUUUGUACAAUAUAUUCCAAAAAUCUCAUACUAAUAACAAAUCUGAUUGCAAAGAGAUUCAAUACUGUACAUGUAUUUGGUUAACCCAUCAACAAAAGCACUAUGCGGGCAACAUGCGGGCUAUCUUCUGGUAUCAAAAGCUACACUAAAUAAAGUAUUUCAACAUCAUCAAGACCACUCUCCAGUCCCCAGCAUUGGCAUCAUGAAUGAAUUAUCAAUAAAAUCAGAAAACAUAAACACUGGAUGAGAAUAUAUGCAGCAUCAAGCCAUCUCACAGACGAUCUUUUUCUUCGUAGGGAGAAAAAUUAAUGUUUCUACUUUCAGAUAACUCCAAGUUGGUAAUAGCUCUAGAGCAAUAGAACUCACGCUUUGGCAUCAUAUGCACGAGCGGCAUCUUAAAAAGAUCGUUGUUGCUUCUGAUGAACCCCUCGAGGACAAACAAGCAACUGUGAUGCUUACUUCUAUUUCUUUUGCAAAUGUGAAGGUCCAAAUAAAACAUACAUAAAAAGUUCUGAAGUUGAAAUUUGUUAGCUGAAGAAUCAAUCAAUAAUUAGAAAAAUCAAAACAUACUGUGCGGAAAUUAACACUAAAACCGAAAAACCGAUCCGAACACAACCGAACCGAUUCAAAUCAGUUAAUCAAAACAUCAACUAUGCUCCAUUCAAAAUAGUCAAUCCUGUUUCAAUUCUAAAGGUCGUCUAAAGAUUGAAAGUACUAAUUAUAUAAAAAAUUUGCAAGCUACUACAUGUCAACGCUAAAUUCAUAAUUGCCUGUUCUACUCUGACUCUCUGAGAACAUUCAAAAUAUCAAGUACAGUAGUGAGCUAGGUGGCAUCUUAAAUUUAAAAACUGCCUAAAGUUUUUUUUUACCUCUGCAUGCAACAACAAGCUAGCUUUGAGUUGAGAAAGCUAUUGAAAAAAUCAUGGGCCAUGUGCAAUGGGCCAGUCAAAGAUAAAAGGCUUCUAAAAUAAAAAAAACACUUGGGUUUUGUAUUCUUUUUCUCUUCAAGUCUCUCUGAAGUCUGAAGCGAAAAGCUAAAACCAUCACAACUUCUUCUUCCUUCUUGAUCAAAAUUCAAAAGGUUUUCUUCUUCUUCUUGAUGUUAAUUUUGAUUAAAUUGUUUUGCGUUCUGGGUAUGUUUACAUAAUUUGGUGUUUUUGUUUGAUGGUAAUUCUUUUUUUCAGCCUUAGCUUUAGCUAUCAUGUCAGAAACCUCUACCAGUGGUAGUGGUGGUGGUGGUAAUGUGGCAACUGGAGGAACUACUACUACUACUACUAUCUUAGAAGAUAGUUCAAUCCAUCACCAACUAUUAAUUCUGGAGAAUUGACCCAAGCUUUCCAUUUCUCUUCUGGUAAUCCUAGAAUGAAGAAAUAGAGGAGNNNNNNNNNNNNNNNNNNNNNNNNNNNNNNNNNNNNNNNNNNNNNNNNNNNNNNNNNNNNNNNNNNNNNNNNNNNNNNNNNNNNNNNNNNNNNNNNNNNNAAUUUUAUAUUUAUAAGCACAAUUAGACAAUGACUUAAAUUUCUAAAGUAGUUGAGACUCGAAACUAAUAAAGAAUUUAACCAAAUGUCAAAUUUUGAGGGUUACACACCAAUGUCACUUGUAAUUUUGAGAGUUUCAAUUUCCAAAUUCCUUUUGUUUUUUCUAGGAAACAUAUGUCACUUGCAGUCUUUAGGAAUUAAAGAAAUCUCCAUAUUUUAGGCCACAACUACUUGUGAUCUCAAGAAAUCAAAGCUGCAUAUACUGAUCAGUUUUGAUUCUAGUUGCAUUUUUACUAAUGGUCUAAGCAAUCAAGUUUCUGAACUUAUCAAGGCUCAAAACCAGUAAGAAAAACGACUAAAUAGGAUAUAAGAAAAACAUUAAUCAAAAUGUCAAAUUCGAGGGUCAUGCUUGUACACCAAUGUUCGAACAAUGGUUUACUGCAAAGCUUAUGUUUUGGACUUGGGCUUCCCAUUGAUCGGAUAUUAUGGGGUAGAGAGGUUACAUGUGAAUUUUGAACGUGGGAAGUCAAGUUUCAAACUUGAUGGCAUAUGACUUUUAAGAUGUUCUGAAGUCCAAUUGUUCUAGCAAGUGGAAUGACCGAGGCCAAACCCAGUCAACUGAAACCCAGGUGAUGCAAACAUAAUUGAUAAAACUUUGUUAUGUGGAGUCCUAGUGUAUAUUUUCAAUUUCUGAAUUCAUUUUGUGUUCUGUAGUAAACAUAUGUCAGUUGUAACCUUCAGGGAUUAAUAAAUUUAUUUUCUAACAGGGUAUGAAAUACUGAUACCUACGCUUUAUGAACUCUUUAUAGGUUGGGAGGAAACCACUUGUUUGUGUGCUGAAUGUGCCAAAUCACAUGACUUAUGCUGAUUUCUGCCAAUUUUGUGCCUCGUUCAUUCAACAUAUACUAGAAAUGCGGAUUGUCAGGUUGAACUUAGACAUAAUUGAAUUACGAAAUGAUUUACUCUUUCGCUCUUGAUAUCGAAAUAAAUGACAUUUUUUGGUUUAUGGCUCUAUUAUUCAGGAAUGAUGGAAUGGAGGAUCGUUAUAGCAUUCUGAUUAGGUUUGAUGAUCAGCAAUCCGCCGAUAACUUUUACCGCCAUUUCAAUGGAAGUCGCUUCUCAUCUAUGGAGGUUUCAUUUUGAGAACACUAUCUUUUCAUUUGGCUUGAGAAGUUUUUGUUAAGGAUUUGAAAUAUAUUCACUUUUUCUUCAAAAUACGUUUUGUAAAACUUCAAUAUAAUUAGUUUCCUAUUGGUUUGGAAUCAGGUAGAAGUUUGCCGCAUUCUUUUUACAGUAGAUGUACAGUACACAGGUUCAAUUGAACAUGCUCAGACAUCCCCGGUCAGCUCAACAGAACAGCCCUCGUGUCCAGUUUGCCUUGGUUUGUUCCUUCCCCAUAAAAGUUGGAUAUUGAACAUCCUAGUGUUUCAAGUAUUGAUUAUAAGUUUCAAAAUGUACCCUUAAAUGCACUUGUAUGCUUAACAACUAAAGAAAAUGCAUUCAUUGUUUAAUUUUUUUGCAAUUUACGCAGAGAGACUAGACCAAGACUUGGGUGGAAUUCUCACAACUAUUUGCAAUCAUUCUUUCCAUUGUUCGUGUAUUUCAAAAUGGACAGAUUCUUCUUGUCCGGUAUGUACUUUGUUGGCUAUGGCAUGUUGUUUUUCCUUUUUUUUUAUUAAUAUUAUAUUUCAUUGAAAUUUUUUAAGCAUAUUUGUUAUUGACAUUAAGGCUAAUGCUUCAGUCUUCUUUGAUGCUCACCUUGCUUGAGGCUCUUUUGUGCUUUUCCAAACAUUGAUUGAGAACAGUAAAGCUGUAAAUAACCUUUCUUGGCAAGACUCAUAACAAGUUUUUGGGAAUUGGCUUGAUUUUCCACAUUGCAUUUCAGGUCUGCAGAUAUUGCCAGCAGCAGCCUGAAAGUUCGACAUGCAAAGUGUGUGAAACNNNNNNNNNNNNNNNNNNNNNNNNNNNNNNNNNNNNNNNNNNNNNNNNNNNNNNNNNNNNNNNNNNNNNNNNNNNNNNNNNNNNNNNNNNNNNNNNNNNNGUGGGAUGUGGGAGGUAUGCUAUUCUCCUAGUCUUAACAAACACACAUUUUCGUUAUGUUAUAUGCUUGUGCCCAUGUUUAUCUACUAACCCAACACAUGGGAGAAGGCAUUUGGCAAUUUUGUGUAGUUGUAGUUUAGUUUUUCAGAAAAAAAAAAAUUAGUGUUUGCUUACUGUCUAAAGUUAUCAUCAAUGAAUAAAAGGUCUAAAGUAAAAAUGUAGAAAAACACAGUUGCUCCUGCUGGGAAGUGAAAAUCAAACCUAAGUCUGUUGUUGAUUUUUUUUUUUUUUUUUCCUUUUAUUAGUGUAGCUUAUUGCUCUUAUGGAAAAUCAUUGUAGGUAUAAAGAAGGACAUGCUAUAAGACAUUGGAAAGAAACACAACACUGCUAUUCCCUUGAGUUGGACACUCAACGCGUAUGGAAUUACGUUGAGGACAAUUAUGUUCAUCGACUUAUCCAGUCCAAAACUGACGGCAAGUUGGUCGAGUUGAACUCUCGUUGUAUCCAUGGUGAUGACAAUUGUAGAAUUUGCGGGUGCAGUGCAGAUUUUGGAAUCAGCGAGACUCUUCUCGACAGUAAAGUUGAAGCUGUAAUUUUUUUCACCCUUUGAUUUUUCUAUUCUUUGUUUUACUUUUUAGUUGUUACUUCAGUCCAUUAUUGAGUUUUCAUUUGUUAGGCACUUAGGCUGGUUAAUGAGUUCUAUUUAACUGUUUGUGUUAUAUAUUGAUUUUGACAGAUUGUAAACGAGUACAAUGACCUUCUCAGAUCGCAACUUGAAAGUCAAAAAAUUGUAAGUAUUUCCAGAUUAUCAGAAGGCAACACCUUUUCCAUCUUAUGUUUUGGAAAACACUAAAUUCAUCUCUAAGGCCAAAACUCAAUUAAUCCAUGCGACAAGAAUGAUUCUUUUUUGUUUCAAUUGUAGUAUUUCGAGUCUUUACUUCUAGAAGCCAGGGAGGAAACUGAAAAAGAAAUUUCUGAAGCUGUUAAGAAGGUGAUAAGAUCAAAAGUGCAGAAGAUGCAAGCCAAGCUAGAUAAAUGUAUGAAAGAGAAAAAAUUUCAUGAUGAUGUAAGUGUCUUCUUCUGUUGCUUGCUGGCAGAAAAAAAUAGUGGAAUCUGAUCUGUCAUCCUUGCUCUUAGUAUCUUGGUGGCUCAAUUACCUUUUUCCCAAAUAACAUUACAAUUUCUUCUGAUGUGCAGAUCAAAGAGAAUCUUGAUAAAAACGUGAAGAUGUUGAAGGAUAAGAAAGAGGCUACUGAGGAAAGGUAUUACUAUCUUCAGUUUUACGUGAACUAUAUUUUCUGAUUAAUAGUUGAAUUAUGACUGUGCCUACCUAAAGUAAUACAUUUCCGGCAAUAGUUUCUGAUGAAGAGUCCCUGUACAUCUGGACUCAUUCAGUUUUGUUUUUUUUCCUCUUCUGCUAGUAUUGUCCUCUUGGAUGUGUACUCAAUUAAUAGUGUUGUAAUUCUUGACACCACUCACCCCUCCCAAACUUGCGUCAAGUACUAAACUCAACGUGGAUAACUGAACUCUUCCUAACUUAAGUUAAUGUUAAUUCCUUACGGAGCAAUUUUUAUAGAACUUGACACAUAACAACUUGGCUUCUGAUGAUUUAUGUUGUUGCAUACCAUGUUCAGUCUGCGUAGUGGUUGCAGUCUAAAGUUUUUGUUUCCAAAGGGCUUACAGGGGUUGUAUUUAUAUGCCUAUUUGUUAUACUGGUUUCAACGUUCAAAUAAAACAACACCUUUUGAUUUCAGGGAGAGAAAGGUUUUGAGAUACAAGGAUGAGAAAAUCCAGGUCUUAGAAGAGACGGUAAGACUAUGCAUAUCUGUUGCUAUUAUUGAUUACAAGUUCAAACCGGGCUUCUCAGCUUAUCUGUGUUUAUUAUUAAUGGCAGCUUAGAGAUCUGAUGUCGCAUCUUGAAGCAGUGCCAUAGAACAGCUUUUUGCGACAAAUGAGAUCAGGGAUGGAAUGGUGUUGCCGAUACCAGUUCAAUCCUCCUCAAAGAAUAGUACUCGACGAAAAAAGAAUAGUACUAAAUGCAACAAAAAGAUCAAUAACAUGAGAACAGGAUGCAAUCAGACAUGUAGGUGUCCGAAACAUAUAUCUAAUCUUUCUUUGAACAAAAGCAGCUUAUUUCAGUUCUUCUGUUUCCCUAGGUGAUGAGCUAUGUGAACUAUGUUCUGUAUAUAAAAUCGAUGAAUCUGUGUUUUGGAUAUUAACAUGAAUGUGUAUACUAUUUCUACUGGCUAGCAAAUUCAGAUCAAAGUAUUAGUGUGUGUGAAAGUACAACAUUUGACAUUAUUACCUUCUCUAGCAUCUGGAAUCAUUAUAAAGGUCCUUUCUUAUCAUUGAUCUAUAUUCAUCCGCACUAAUGGCUUCACCGUUUACAGUCACAUUUAAAAAGAUGGUCAUUGCAGCUCAAGAAUGUCCUUAGGCAUUCGGCACUUUUCUCUGUAAUGACAAAUUUUUUGAGGUUAUUCUGGAAUAUUAACUUUGAAAACAGCGAUAUGUAUAUUUCUAUCUACCAAGUACCAACCACGGAAAUAUACAUUUCCUUGUAAAUUAGGCCUACUUCAAAAAUAAGGAAGCCCCAAGGUAUUGCGAACCGGCAAGAGACUUCUGCUAUAAGGAAGAACGAAUGGUGUACGAUGAGACUCAUAGUUCACUUUCCCGAAGCUGAUUACUUCAUCGGUCUGAUCGGUUUUGAUGUUGUAUGUCCUCAAAGUCAGAUUCCCUUUUGUGAAUACAACAUUGUCUUUGAAAGCCAAAGCCUCAACGAAGAAGUUUGGCAUAUUGUUGGAAUCAGGCAAAUGGCAUUUAGUUCCAUCCCAAUUCUCUGGAUCAACUAGUUUAGUCCUUUCAACUACAUGCCGCAAAUGCUUUAAUUCCCAUUCAGGAUUAGAAUAGUCAGAACCACUAAGAAUCCAAACACGAAAUUCAUUUCUGCUGCUGAAAACAUAAUGGAGAUACCCUUCUGACUCGCCUAGGCAAAUCCCCCAAUCACCUCCCUUUCCCAUCACUGGAUUAGGUAACAUAACAAUCAACGCCUUUUCGUUCUUCAAAUCAAAUGUAAGCAUGCUAUGUCCAUCAGUCAACCAGUGAAACACUCCAUUGACAAAAACUUGUUUAUGGAAUUGCAAUCUAUGAGGACAACGGCAUAUUUCGUUUGGGACUCUCCAUGAAUCUGUUUUGGACGAAUAAAUCUUGAAUAUGUAGCAGAAGGAAGCUUUAGACUCUUGUAUAAGCUGCACAACUAUAACUUCAAAACAAAUCGAAGAAGGGUCGCUGAAAGCCAAUGCAACACCACAACGAUCACUGUUUGUAAGAUUUGGAGUUAUGGCAUGGAAUUCCUUUGUAAGAGGAUUACAAACAUAAAUAAUAAGCUCUGCAGGAUCUGGAUUCAUUGUCCUUGUGGACCAAUUAUGAGUCUUUGUACGUCUAAACAGGCUUCGGCAAACAAGCAAACCAUUGCAUGAUGAACUGAUAACAACUUUUUGCGGUAAGAAAUCCAGAAUGUUUUCCUUUACUUUGUGUUUUCCAUCCUUGGCAUUAAUGGUGACAUAAUCAACAAACUCAUUAUCCACAUAAUCUUCGCAACAAUUACUACUACUAGUAGUACAAUAAUGUACUCCUUGGACGAAAACUCCAGACAAUAUGUUCUUUCGCGAAUCAUUAAUAAAGUGAGCUUGGCAAAAGGACUGGCAUGUACUAAGAUCAUACCACAACUUAGACACAGAUUUUGCCGAUGGCACUGACUCAAUAGGCAAAUGUGAUAAGACUUUGGUUGUCAGAUCAUCAUUCAAAACCCAUUCACCACAAGAAAGGCCAUGAUGAUCGUCAUUCCAACGUGUUAUAUUCCACAGAGAUUUCAACAUUUCCAUAGACAUGAUGGACCUAUAAUCCUAUAGGAACCAGAAUGAUGGAUUUAUAUCAUGAUGGUAGCUAGGGAAUUACAAAGUUUUAUACUUUGGUUUCAUCGUGUGGAAAAUGUUUACAAGCAUUUGGCAUGGCACGACUGAUUAUUAUUCCCAGUAAUGCUUCCAGACUUUUUGUUUUCAUACAAACAAGAGAGUUUUUGGACAUACCCCAUUUGAAAAUCGAAAUUUGAGAUACCCCCAUUUGAAAAAUAUUUUGAGAUACCCCCAAUUCAAGACAGAAGAGCUUUACAGCCGUAGGUGAGUUUUAUGAUGGAUUAUGAUGGACGGCUAAGAUAACACCACAUCUUGAAUGGGGUAUCUCAAAUUUCGACUUUCAAAUGGGGUAUCUCAAAUUUCGACUUUCAAACGGGGGUAUGUCCAAAAAUCUCAAAAAAACAAACACAGCUGGGUGCCCUGAAUGAAAAACGACUUAUCAGCUGGGGUGCGCGUAUAAGUGGGGGCACGUUGGCGCGAAAAGAGAGAGAAAAUAAAAAUCAAUCUCGAGGCCAGUUAAGUUGAAGUUGAAGUUGAAGUUGUGAUGCAAAAAACUUGAGAAUCGUUUCUACAUCUACAGUGUUGAAAAACCCUAAAUUUUGAAAAACAGAAUAAAGUAAAUAAGACCCAAUUGAAGCUGAUCUUGAAGAUUCAAUUACAAGUUUACAACAACAAUGAGGUUUGUUUGAUUUCUUUUCAAAACAUGUUAAUUUUGAUGUUAUUAUUGUGAUAUUUCUUUCAAGUAAAAUUAAAGAAAUCCUUUUAAUGUUAUGAUUCUUGCAAUACUGGUUUGGAUGAAUCCUUAAUGAAAUGUUAAUUAUUACUACUUUAUAUUCGAGCGAGCGGCUCGCGCGCUUGUUUGAAUACUAGUUUAGUGCAAGAAUCCUUAACUAUAUGGUGCUACAUUUUGAUUUUUGGAUAAGUGAAAGUUAUUUUGACGAUAAUGCCGAAUGAUACUUAUACAUCACUUUACUAAUAAAAAACUGGAGUACAAUCCCCCCCAAUUCCAUAAUAAACUGUUGCAAUAUCCCUCCCCAAACAUGUGGGACCUAAUUUUCAGUUGAAUUAGUUUGUGGAUCUGGUUGGGGAUUAUAUAUAGGAAUAUAAGAUCAUUCAUUGAUGAUGGGCCAGAGAAGAUGGAGGCCGGGGAGCUGACAUUUCUUUUUUCAGUUGGGUUUAUGUACGAGGUUCUUGAAAGCUAACAGUUGCAAUAAUCAUUGCCUGGCCACCUGGUGUGGAAGGUUAUGCUUUUUGCAUGAACUUUGCCUUGAAAGGAAUAGAAGAAUUUGUUUGAAGAUAAAUGUGCGACUUUGGUGCAGAUGAUUAAUUUCAUCAAAUUUGGGGUUUAGGAAUGCAUCUUCUUUCUAUACUUGUAUACGAACGAAGGAAUAGUUGAUGCAGAACAAUGUUUAUGAUAUUGUAUAGAUAGAUUAUUGUCGAUAGGAUGUAAAGUGUUGGAAAUAAGGGCAAGUAGGUUUUCUUGUAGAAAUAACUACAUAAAGGUAGUUAUUCCUAGCAAUAAUUAACUCUUUUUUAAAUAAAGAGAAAGUAGAUAAAGAACAGUGGUGGCUGCUUGGUAUUUGAUUCGAAGGUCUGGAUAACCUUGUGAACACAAGGGAGACAUUCCUUCAUGCGUAUUCUAGGUACCCUUGCCUGUGUGACGUAGGAAUCAGAUCGCGAACUUCUUACAUCCUGAUUUCAAUUUUUGUGAGGGUUUGUCAAAACUCAAAAGAUAUGCAGCGACUAUUCAGUGAUUUUUAAGAAUCUUUUGAUCCAGGAGAUGAGUGGUAUGUACAGGAAAUCUUUCGCCGAGACCGAGAUCAUUGAUUUUCAUGUAUUGGUUGGCAUCACAGAUUAUCGACUUACAUGUGUUGUUUUGUCUUGUGUUUUCACAUUAUCUGUUGUAAUGGUUAGAUAGAGUCGACGAUUCUCUUUCAUUUGUUUUCGCUUCCACUUCGCCACACUUAAUGGUUUCUUGGGGAGGACGUAACGCCCGCAAUCCACUGAUGUAUAUUCUUGUACUUGUGGUGGUAGUGUGAUCAUCUCUAUCUACUGCCUCUUUGUCAUUUUCACUACCAAACAGGUCAUUAAAUUCCAAUGACCCUCGUCGCGUGAAUUGGAGUGUAAUGACAUUCAGUGCCCUUAGAGCCCAAGAGUGCUUAUGGCCUGCGUGGAUAUACUAUAUCUAAAUAGAGCACCUGUCCCCUUUUUUUUGUGUGGAUAUUACCAACUUUUAAAUUUCCAAUAUUGUGGAUAUUACCAGCUUUUAAAUCACCAUUGGUACAAGUUACAGCUGUUAAAUUUCCAAUAUUGUGUUUUGGAAUUAUUCCAAUCACAAGUGUUAGACUUAACGAUUUCAUGUUGAGAUGGGAGGACUUUAUUUUUCAUGUACACUGAGUGAAUUUCUUUGUAUUUUGGGCUAGUGUGUAACUCACACACUUUUCUAAUGAAAGUUGUGUUUUACCGGUAAAAAAAAUAAAUAAAAAAAAUAAUGAAAGUUGUGUUUUUUAAUAUGCGCGUGGGCAGAGGGGGGGGGGGUUGUGGGACUGGGGGGUGAUGACUAAAUUUGAGAUUUGACCCUACUUAAGUAGCCUCAUUGCUAAGGAAAGAACUAUUUGGGUCUGUUUUAAUACUCAACAUGAGAUCCUAACCAAGUUGGGAUGUCAGUUAGGAACCAAGACCAUUGCAUUUAUAUGCCUUCUUUGUUCAUUUCUUUAGAAAUGAAUGUUUGACCAAGCCACAAAACUACUUAUAGAGCGCCCCUGCCCUUAUACUCUCUUUUUUCAAUAGAUUUUGCAAAUCUUUGGAUUUGAUAAAUAGCUGAUUACUUUAAAAGUUGCAACUUGAACCAAUGGUGAUUUUUGUCUAUUUUAUGACUCGUGAGUAUUGUAUGUAUUUUGUCAUAUUUGUCUAAUACUCCUGUCUAAAUCUAUAUUCUAAGAAUACACUUCUGAUAAAUGAGUACAGUACAAUAUUUCUUUGGCCUUAAAUUUCUGCCAAUUACUUUCCUAAAGUUUUUAUACAGCAUGUCAUGUCAAAAUUUGAUGGCUUUACUUGGUAUACAUUAGAUGGAUUUUAUUAGGCGCUAAUAAAUGCAUUGCAUUAACUUCCAUUUAAUUAAUCAAAUUAGGUAUGUUAAAAGGGAAAAGAAUGGACUUAAUGUCUUAAUACUAUGGAAUCUUUUUAGAUACAUCCUAGAUAAAGCAAAUAAAAAUGAAAAAGUUUAGAUUUUGGGAUCACUUGUUUUAGUAACAUAUCACAUUUAAAUGCUUUGUAUUUGAGAGCAUCGAAUUGCGUGUGAUAUAAAUGAUCCAUGAUCCCAUGGCUGGAGUUGUUUUAUCACAUUCUAAACUAGAUAUGUCAAUCUGUACCAUUGAUUAUUCGAUAACUAUCGGGAUAUACAAUCUAAAAAUCUUCUGGUGUUGCAUAGAAUUAUCUUCCCACGUUUUGAAGCAUUCUUGGGUACAUCUAGUUGUCUAGCAGCUCCAGUCACCCUAAACAAAAAGUUAAGAAAAAUUUGGGGUUUUCUAGCAUUGAAGUGGAAGAAUUUUUUAUGGCAAACUGGGAAGACAGUCUUGGGAGGAAGUUGGGUAAUCUUGCUCUAAAUGAUAAACACAAGAGAUCUGAGGAAUCUGCAAUGAUGCAUUGCAAUAACAGGGUAGUUCAGUAUCAAUUGAGAUCUGAGAACUGCACAAAUUACCCUAGGAAUGGAAAAUGUUAUGAGUUCAAUUACAUGUCUAAUCAUAUAGAUGGAAAUCAGGUUUGUUUAUCGUUUUUAAAGAUAAGGUUUGAUAGAUUCUGAAAUUUAUGCAUUCAAUCUUUUUAGUUUACUUCUGCUGAUUAAGAACAAAUCUAAUGGUGGGAUCCUGUUGACUGAAAAGGGAAAACUAGAUUUUUUCAAGGAACUUAUUGAUUUACUGGAAUUUUGUUAAUCUCAUUUAAUGUUGGUGGAGGAGGUAGUGGGGGUGGUGGUGGUGGUGGUUGGGGAGGAAGAGAGGGAGGGAUAGGAGGUUCAUUUUAUUAAUCUGAGUUCCUAGUUUUUUUUUUCGUGGUUGUUAUCUGCUUUCAUGCAGGCACUUUAUUUGAAUCAAAGGACUGAUUUAGAGAGUCUUUGUCUGUACUCUCUACUUAUUGAUUGGUUGUUCUUUUCGCUUUAAAGGUGGCUUACCAAAAUGACAAUUACAUGGGAGAAUACUCGAGAAAGAUGCAGGCUCCUGAAUGCGAGGUCUCUAUUGCUUCUCACUCUGUUGGUGUUUUCCUCAAAAUCUAUUUUUGCUACUUCUGGCAUAUACACCAUCUCAUUUCAAUGUUUUUUGGUGUAGCCUUUUUUUCUUCUUCUUCUUCUUCUUCUUUUUUUUUCCCUGUAAUUCUAAGUAUAUGCUUUAAUAACUAGAAAUUUGGGUUUUGAAUUAUUGCUGUUCAUAGUACUUGUAGCAUUUGUGUUGACCAGCUUGCCAGGUAGCCGUAUUUUGAUGGAUUUUUUUUUUUAUUUUCAAUCAAUUUUUUUUUCUUCUAAAAAUUACUAGGUAAGAUAAUGAGUAAAUGUUAACGAUACUUGUUCUAUACAUUAUCGCUUUAUAUAACGACUCCUUAUUUUUGGUCCACUUGGAGAUUUGUGUGUUUCCAAAUGGCCAGGACAUAAUAUCCAUUGUUUGAACAACUUCCCCUUGUUGAAAUUAUCUGUUUGACCUAUAUACGAUGAUGCGAUCAUAUGGAAAUGCAAAUAUAUUUCUUUCACAUGUAGUCAUGUAUGUAAACUGGGGAAAUUGGAUUUUGACACUGUAAUAAUAAGAAGUUAAAAGAUGCCAUGGGCUACUUUUUAUGGGACUUUGAGAUUCAAGCCAGCUAAGACCUUACCAGCAUUAGGGGACGUACAACCUUUAUUGAGUUUGUUCCAGUUUGUUUCCAUAAAAACAUUUGUUGGAAAUGCUUGAAACCAGUUCAACACGAAAUCGGGUCCUCAUUCCUCGUGGCACCUAUAUGAAGUUGUAUUGAGGAUCUAGUUGUAAGAGGACCAAUACAUUUGUAUCAAUAAGCUAAAAAUGAGCAGUAAACUUUGUUACACAGACCAAAUUUUAUUAAACUAAAAUUCUUUUUUGUCAUAAAGCUAUUUGGAAAUAGCUGGGCCAUCUAUUCGGCAUGAGACCAGCCAAAGAUCAAUGUACUUUGACCACUUGAAAAAUGGCAGAUUCUCUUCUCGGUCACUAUGAUAUGCUCUUUGCUCUCGCCUCAUGGUCAUAUCAACUUUAUCAUAAAUUUCCAUAGUAGUUGGCUAGUUGUGUGUUGGGGGUAUGAAGUCUCCUUUCGUUUUUGGGUGUGGUAGAUAAUAUGAAUUUUAAGGAGUUAACUUAAUGUUAAGUUCUGUCCUCUGUGUGAUAGAGAGUCAGUUAGUUAGACUCAUGUGUCCUUUCUUGUAGUGGAUUUGCUGUACUAUCUUACGUUAAGCAGGAUAGAUUGGGUGUCUUCUGGUUCAAUGGAAGAUUUACUCGUCUUGAUUCUUGAGAAAUUAUUCCCUGGAGCAUCUGGCUCCAAGGGAACGUUAUACAUGUUUUUAGGCGGAGGCAUGUCUUUGGAAACAUGAUCAUUUCUAUGAAAGAAUCCAUAUUUUAUGUUGAAAGUGAAGGAGUCAGAAUAUUCCUUGCUAAAGAUGGGAUACAUGCAUGGAUGGAUGAGUGUGUGGGAGAUCUGAACGUAGUUAUGUGUAUCUUUCGGGAUAUGUUUAUCCGUGCUUAUGGUAACAGACCCUGAUUUAAUGAUGUGACAGAAGAUGCUUAUGAAGCAGUACAUUUGAUAUCCAUGUUUUUGUGUAUGUGGGAAGAAGACACCGAAAAUCAGGGAUAAUGUUGUUAAAAGGUGCCAAAGAAACACUUACACAUGUAACCAGCAUGUGCUUUAUUAAUAUACAACCUCUCUGCCCAAACAUACCCUUGUUGUUUUCUUUCCUGUUAUGUAAUCAUUCUAUGUAGGACAUUUCUUCCUAUAUUAUCAAUAUAUUUCCAUGAGGGAAGGACCCCUUUAGACUAAGGGGUUCUUGUAGGAUUCUGGGUCUUCAAAGUGACACAUUGUAAUGUGAUGUGGAUAUAUUUUGGGUAAAAUGGGUUGGUUUAGGUGUUUAGGGUGCUGAUAANNNNNNNNNNNNNNNNNNNNNNNNNNNNNNNNNNNNNNNNNNNNNNNNNNNNNNNNNNNNNNNNNNNNNNNNNNNNNNNNNNNNNNNNNNNNNNNNNNNNNNNNNNNNNNNNNNNNNNNNNNNNNNNNNNNNNNNNNNNNNNNNNNNNNNNNNNNNNNNNNNNNNNNNNNNNNNNNNNNNNNNNNNNNNNNNNNNNNNNNNNNNNNNNNNNNNNNNNNNNNNNNNNNNNNNNNNNNNNNNNNNNNNNNNNNNNNNNNNNNNNNNNNNNNNNNNNNNNNNNNNNNNNNNNNNNNNNNNNNNNNNNNNNNNNNNNNNNNNNNNNNNNNNNNNNNNNNNNNNNNNNNNNNNNNNNNNNNNNNNNNNNNNNNNNNNNNNNNNNNNNNNNNNNNNNNNNNNNNNNNNNNNNNNNNNNNNNNNNNNNNNNNNNNNNNNNNNNNNNNNNNNNNNNNNNNNNNNNNNNNNNNNNNNNNNNNNNNNNNNNNNNNNNNNNNNNNNNNNNNNNNNNNNNNNNNNNNNNNNNNNNNNNNNNNNNNNNNNNNNNNNNNNNNNNNNNNNNNNNNNNNNNNNNNNNNNNNNNNNNNNNNNNNNNNNNNNNNNNNNNNNNNNNNNNNNNNNNNNNNNNNNNNNNNNNNNNNNNNNNNNNNNNNNNNNNNNNNNNNNNNNNNNNNNNNNNNNNNNNNNNNNNNNNNNNNNNNNNNNNNNNNNNNNNNNNNNNNNNNNNNNNNNNNNNNNNNNNNNNNNNNNNNNNNNNNNNNNNNNNNNNNNNNNNNNNNNNNNNNNNNNNNNNNNNNNNNNNNNNNNNNNNNNNNNNNNNNNNNNNNNNNNNNNNNNNNNNNNNNNNNNNNNNNNNNNNNNNNNNNNNNNNNNNNNNNNNNNNNNNNNNNNNNNNNNNNNNNNNNNNNNNNNNNNNNNNNNNNNNNNNNNNNNNNNNNNNNNNNNNNNNNNNNNNNNNNNNNNNNNNNNNNNNNNNNNNNNNNNNNNNNNNNNNNNNNNNNNNNNNNNNNNNNNNNNNNNNNNNNNNNNNNNNNNNNNNNNNNNNNNNNNNNNNNNNNNNNNNNNNNNNNNNNNNNNNNNNNNNNNNNNNNNNNNNNNNNNNNNNNNNNNNNNNNNNNNNNNNNNNNNNNNNNNNNNNNNNNNNNNNNNNNNNNNNNNNNNNNNNNNNNNNNNNNNNNNNNNNNNNNNNNNNNNNNNNNNNNNNNNNNNNNNNNNNNNNNNNNNNNNNNNNNNNNNNNNNNNNNNNNNNNNNNNNNNNNNNNNNNNNNNNNNNNNNNNNNNNNNNNNNNNNNNNNNNNNNNNNNNNNNNNNNNNNNNNNNNNNNNNNNNNNNNNNNNNNNNNNNNNNNNNNNNNNNNNNNNNNNNNNNNNNNNNNNNNNNNNNNNNNNNNNNNNNNNNNNNNNNNNNNNNNNNNNNNNNNNNNNNNNNNNNNNNNNNNNNNNNNNNNNNNNNNNNNNNNNNNNNNNNNNNNNNNNNNNNNNNNNNNNNNNNNNNNNNNNNNNNNNNNNNNNNNNNNNNNNNNNNNNNNNNNNNNNNNNNNNNNNNNNNNNNNNNNNNNNNNNNNNNNNNNNNNNNNNNNNNNNNNNNNNNNNNNNNNNNNNNNNNNNNNNNNNNNNNNNNNNNNNNNNNNNNNNNNNNNNNNNNNNNNNNNNNNNNNNNNNNNNNNNNNNNNNNNNNNNNNNNNNNNNNNNNNNNNNNNNNNNNNNNNNNNNNNNNNNNNNNNNNNNNNNNNNNNNNNNNNNNNNNNNNNNNNNNNNNNNNNNNNNNNNNNNNNNNNNNNNNNNNNNNNNNNNNNNNNNNNNNNNNNNNNNNNNNNNNNNNNNNNNNNNNNNNNNNNNNNNNNNNNNNNNNNNNNCCCCCCCCCCCCCCCCCCCCCACCCCUGAUUGAAAAAAUAAAAAACUUGAAUCUUUCGGUUGAUAGAUAAUAAAGUUUCAGUAAUGAUAGUAAGUGAACGCAAUGUGGCACAUCUUUUGCUGGAGUUCAUGUCACUACACCAGUUCCUUGAGGUUUCAUGCCAAAUACAUUCUGAGUGAUCUUGAAGUUAUUGCUUGAUGUGUCAGUAAAUUGUUCGAUACGUCUGUAAUAAAUUAUUAUUGUCUGAGUGAUGACUAAUUACUCUUUGCAUGCUUAUCUAUAAAUAUGAUCUACGUAAAAUUCUUUUGGAGAUGAUGAACGCGACUGUAAUUUUUCUAAGGUGAUGUCAAAUAAGCUUAUAUUAAUUUGCUCUUAUGCUCAAGUAAGUAUUGGGGUUUCCUACGAUUUUACGAAUUAUUUAAGGGUAGGGGGCUUAUCUUUAGAUAUCAUCAUCCUCUGGCAAAAACUUCAUCUGGAUAACUUCUUGUGCUUAAUUAUUUGAUACUCUAAUUCUGAGACUUAUUUUAACUGCUGGAAAUACUUAAUGAUGUGAGAUUAAGAUGUAAGCAUUAUGGUUUUCUAUUAUGUCAUGGCCUUGAAAUACACUGUAAUUCAUUGCAGGGAGAGUCAUUCUACUCCUCCCUUUAUGGAUCCUACAGCAGCGCAAGUAACAGCUGGCCCCAGCAUUCUAAUUAUACUGCUGUGGAGGAAUCGUAUCCUGCUUUGGCAUACAGUAAUUAUGGACUCAGUCCUCUAUAUCCAGCCGGGGCACCACAACAUGCUGUGACGUCAUCUUUGCCGAUUACUGGUCUUGGGGGUUCACCUUGUGUUGGUGCUUCAACAUCAUAUGCACCAUCAGAGUAUUUACCUCUUCUAAGGGUGAGUUUCAAUAUUUAUUGGGAUUAUUUAUGAUAAUAGUUUAAGCUAUUGCUUAAUACCUUUUAAGUUUCAUUAAUUUUAUUUGAUUUCAGUAUGAUACUAUAAUGUCAUUUCACCCCUUAGGCCAUGUGUCCAUGUCAUUUUCCAUCUUUUCUUUCCAUCUUCACCUGCUUCGUAUUUACCAACUAUACCAAGGAGUGACUGAAUUCUAUUAUCACACUAAUUUAAAUUAUAAAAUUCCGAAAACUAUAACAUGACAUUCAUUCUCAGCAACUGCUUAUAAGACCUUUGUCCUUUAUUAUACUUUAAAUUGGCACUGCCUGUUGGCAAGAAAAGAUACCCAUGAAAGUUACCUUCGAUAUCCAGCUAGACACCUCCCAAUAUCUACCUAUGCAAAUGUCAUUUCACCCCUUAGGCCAUGUGUCCAUGUCAUUUUCCAUCUUUUCUUUCCAUCUUCACCUGCUUCGUAUUUACCAACUAUACCAAGGAGUGACUGAAUUCUAUUAUCACACUAAUUUAAAUUAUAAAAUUCCGAAAACUAUAACAUGACAUUCAUUCUCAGCAACUGCUUAUAAGACCUUUGUCCUUUAUUAUACUUUAAAUUGGCACUGCCUGUUGGCAAGAAAAGAUACCCAUGAAAGUUACCUUCGAUAUCCAGCUAGACACCUCCCAAUAUCUACCUAUGCAAAUAAACUUUGGUGCAACAUAGAAACAACUUGGGGACUCAUUCUAGAUAGAGAAACAAAAUUAUCAUAGUUUUGGAUUUCAUUUUCACAUGUCUUAGUACCAAAUAAGAUCCAAAUCUUCCAUAUAAUGGUUUUGUUAUGUGUACAUGGUUAUUUAAGUAAUAUAUAUUCAACGCAAGGGAAUGCUACGAUCUACAGUCGGGGGAUAUUUCCUUAAAUCACUAUCAUUUAGAAAUCUUCUAUAUACACCACUUUUAUGUUACAUGAACAUUUAAGCACUAGGAAUGAUUGCUUCACUUGGCCAGUUACGAAAAUGUGUACUUUUCUGUUGCAUCUUAAAAACCUUUUACUGUUUUGUACAACUUCUCAUUGAUUGUCUUCUAUGAGCCAGUUGGUCUUGACCUAAAGUGGAAGAACUAUCAAAUUCUUCUAUAGAGCAUCCUUCAUGUUAUCUAGUUGUUCUCAUGGAUUGUUGAAAGAGAGAAAAAAAGUCUCCCACACACUUUGAGAUAAGAUCGAGAUAAGUAAUUGAUCCACAUUCUAUCCUAUGUACUCUACCCAAACAGGCAUAGGGUAUCUCCAGUUCUCCACCAUCCCUCUAUUUUUCCAAUUGUCAAAGGUCUGAUCACACUACAAAAGAAUGAGGUCCCACAAAGAGAUCAUCUUCAUCCAUUUCUGAAAGCAAGACGAUGAUCUCAUUUUCCCAAGAGUCUCCAAAGAUUUUUUGGGCCUUGUAUUAAAAUUUAACUAAGAAUACUAAAGCUCUCCACCCAACGCCCUUUAUCGAACGUUCCACAUCUCUAUCCCCAUAAUAAUUGGUUGCCAAAACUGAACAAAGCGCUCAAGCUCUUCAUCAUUUAAAGACUUUAAUAUCGGUCUUGAAAAAUAUUUAGAGUUUAAAAUUCAAGGACUAGGCCAACAGCAUUAAAACAAUUAUAUGUGUGAACUUUAUAUUCUGAAAUUCAAAGUGUCAAGCAAAUACUUCGUAUAUAUUAUGUUUGAAGACAUCAAAUCUGAAUAACUAUAAAAGUCAAAACAAUGAAAACCAUCUUAUUCUGGUUUCAUGGUGUGUUCAUGGAAUCCAUCAUGAUAUCCAUUAACAGUGGCAGAAGGCUUGGUCGAAUCUGUGAUGAUUGAAUCAUGGAACCAUUGUUUGUAUGAGAUCUAGUUGGAAAACGUAAUUAAUUUUGGACUCCAAUUAUUUCUUUUUUGUUGUCUUUGUUGCUCUUUGAUUUUGAUAGCUUAUUUGUCCCCUGCUACCUAAUUAAGCCAUAUUAAGAACCUUUUAUGGAAAAAGUUUGCACUUGUUUGAGGGGCCUCUAAUUCAUUUUCAACAUACUGUAAUUCCUCCCUCAUUGCAACUAAAGAGAUGUUAUCUAAAUCUGGAGGUAUGAUUUCAACAGCUUCUAAAUCUGGAGGUAUGCAUUUUCAGUAGAACAAUUAUAGUAUUCAUAUGAGAAUAGAAAUUAAGCAAUUAAUCACUACUUUGAAAUAGUUCAACAUACGUCGGAUUUGUGCUAUUAUUUGCUACCAAAUUAAGCAUGAGUGCAUGAUUUUAAAAUGGAUUUGAGUAUUAGACAAUGAUUUGGUGUUCAUUGCUGAUCUUACUGGAUAUUGACCCGAGUUCUUAAUCUGAUAAUCAAACUAGUGUCUUCUGUAUAAUAGAGAAACGUGAUAAAAUUAUCGACAAAAAGAGUAGUUUGAUUUUGCGCAAAAACAUGUUCGUUGUGUUAAACUAGUAAUUUGUUUAUGUUUUUUGGUUGAAACAUCAAGUAAUUCUCCCGAAAACUUCAUAUAGAAGGUCAAUUUGACGAAGACCGUUAAAAUUUACAAAAACAUUAUUUAAGUAGAAACAGUUAAAUUGAUGGGGGAGGCAUAACUAAGAUACGACUGUAAGUGUAAAACUUGUGGGGGCAUAUAUAUAAUGGUAUAAGGUGAUGUAUAUGAUGCAUAAGUUGUGCUGACUAUUUGUUAAACUUUUAAUAAAAUUGUUUGUGUGGGAACAUUUGAAUUCUAUUCCAAUGAAAACCACAAACUACAGUCAUUCCAACUUAAAGAUGCCUGUAAUUGUUGACUAGUUGUUGUUUGUUUUAGGCUCCAGAAGAGCAACUGUACCCACCUGAAGGAAACACACGUCCUUCAGUUUUAUGCCAGAUUAUGGAAGAAGGAGAUGAUUCUGAAUGCUAUCAGAAGGAUACUCCAACUGAGGACUCACCUGAGGGUCCUAUUCAACGUGAGUGUCCAUUCUUAGCUUCAUAUGGGGUAUGUCAGAGUAAAUCAAGUUGUAUGUUUCACCAUCCAGAAGGCCGCGUCCCAACAUGUGUUUUCAAUUCUGUGGGUCUGCCUUUAAGACCAGUAAGUGCAUUUCGUUUACUUUGAUUUCAUUCAACACCUAUUUUCGUGCCAAGUGUAUUCAAUGUUCUUAUUUCUGUCCCUUAUAAAUCGAUGUACUUAUGAUGGCAUUAAGAGAGAAGAUAAAUCAUAUUGGGAACGUCUGGACGAGUUGUUUGUGGAACAGGGAAAACAAUUUGGAUUAGGAUGUAAAUUACACUUCCACUUUUACAUAGGAAACCAAUACAAUAUUGGUACCCAAACUGAGGGUCUGAGGUAGUGUUUCCUUAUUGUUCGUAAAACGGGCAUUUGAUCAAUUGAUUGGACCACAGUCACCAAAACGGUAUUAUGAGAAAUUCCAGAUGGGAAAAUAUCUGCAUAGAAUAAGAAAUGACACUGCGAAAUACUUUAAGGGAUGCCUCUUGAUGAAGAGGAAGAUUUUUUUUUUUUUUUCCAAAAAACAGUUGGAUAUACAACAUAUAUAAUAAUCUUGUCUGUUCAUUCCACCUCCUCAAUGCUGUUAAGAACAGGUUCUCCAUCAUAUUCAAGCAACCUAGAGUCCUAGACUGUUCUUAUGACUGAAUAUCAUUGAGGUGUAUUUCCCUUUAAAGUUGUGUUUUUGUGAUGCAUUUUGUGAGUGUUUGAUGGUUUGAGUUUGGUUGAGUGAGACAACUCCCAAGUCCCAACUCACUUUAAGAGAAAUGUUGACUUGAACAUUAAUUAAGAAUUGCUCGAGAACCACUCCUACGCCACCACCAACUUCUAGCUUGAUGUUCCCUACAUUUCUGAUUACGUGACAGAGUACUGUCUUAGAAGUCAAGUACCAUGUCUUAUCAGAAUCCAAUUUUUGGAUCAAAAUUUUCACAUUUUGGAUGGUAGAAAGUUAUAGAUCAAUAAAUCUUUCUUUAGAGUUUAGAAGAACAUAAUCAUGCUCAUAGUACAAAAUUCCAUGAAAGUUUGAAAAUAUUCCCAAUUAUUUCUUUUUCUUAGGAAAUGGAAUGGAUUUGGGUCAGGUACUGGCCGAUUGAAAACCACCCCAUUCCGUGAAUAUACCGUGUAAGAUCUAAAAAAAACAUGGUUGAUAAUGUAUGUGGGAGAGAGAUUCCUAGGUCGAAGUUGAUUAUAUUCUGAUUUAGGAGUCGAACUCAUCUUCCUCUUCUCACCGAUUAGGGUCAUCUACGUCUUUUUUUUCACCGCGGAUUAGGCUAUUAGGGUCGUCUGUUAUCUUCUUCUAUUCACCUCUUAUUUGAUCGAAUGUCUGUUGUCUUUUAGGGUUUAUUAAUUCUGAGCUUUGCACGAAGUGGGAAAGGACCGUGCAUCAUCCAAUGUAGACUACAUCUCACCAAAAACAAAUGUAGACCCAUGGUUAUUGAAUUGAGACUUGUACUUUCUUCAGAUAAAAAGUGUGAAAAAGUAAACUUUUUGCAAAUAACUCGCACUCUGACACAAGAAAUGUCAGUGGAAUGUUUUCAGUUUUGAGGGAUUGAAAUUCCCCAAACCAGUAUUUUCUUAUAUGACCACAAUCUAUCUACCACAUUGGCAUAUCUUGGUAUACCAUCUUUACUUUCUUCGUCUUUGACGGCUUUUGUUUAUUAUUAGAUGCUUCUAAAUGCAAUUCCCUCCAAAACUAUCAAAUGUUAUGCAUGGGAGAAAAAAGAAAAUUAAUCUGUGAUUCCGUGUCUGUAGAUUAAACUCAUAAAUAUAAAAAAUUAGGAUCCCUAUAUGUAGUUGUGCUCCCAUACUACACUCUGCUCAUGGCCUGUCAUGCCACUAUUCCUUGAUACUAAGAAGUAAACCCAGAGAAGAAAAGAAUGGAAGUGAAGGAUGAUACCAUUUUUAAGUUUGGAUGUUGAAGAAUAGAAAUAUAAAACAUGGUAGUGGUAUGAAAAUUUGAAUUACAUAGUUGCUUGCUUUCUUUACAAAAAUAAAAAUAAAUUGUCCUUGAGUUAUCAAUAAGUUGUUAUCAUUUGCUUGCUUUCUUUCAAUUAAAAUAGUCCUCACGUUAUUACUGGUUAACAUGUGCCUUCUCUGACAGGGCCAGAGAGUUUGCCCAGCUUACCGCCUAUGGGGGCUUUGCAUAUCCGGGCGCUCAUGCAAGUAUGAUCAUCCAUGGAAUGGUGAAUCCUCACCCUAUGGUUCUUCAUCAUCUCAGAUGCCCUAAGAAGCAAAGUAUUGAUUAACUGAAGGAUUUAGAACUCCACAUUUGAACCUUGCUCUUGCUGAUGUGAUGUUUAAUUGUUAGCUACACCCGUCCAAACUGUGUCUACAUUAUAUAGACAUGUUUAUCUCACUUAGGGCCUCAGGACAGGACAGGGUUUUAUUUUUCCUUAUUUGCUUCUGUUUGACUGGUAAUAUGGCGUCCUACUGCUACUGUGUUUUGCAGUAAUUGUUGGUCCCUUGGUGGCCUUGGUUAGACUUAUCCUAUUGUGUCAGACUUAUGAUUUCUAGAUUAUGGAUUCUUCCCUUGAUUUUUUUAUGCCUAGUUGUACUCAUGGCAUGCGUGCAUAGUUACUUUCACUUACCAGAUUAUGAUGUUUUCUGUGGAAAACAGCAUGCAUAUAUUGGCUUAAAUGAACCAGACACCCUUCCUUUUUCUCAAACAGGCUUUCAAUUAGAACAAAAAUAGCCCCAAGGUCCCAGAAAAUAAAACUGGGCAAGGUGCUUGCAGGCUUGUGGUUGCUCAUGAUAUCAUUGAUGGAAGAUAGUUUUGAAUUUUUGAUAGCAAAUGAAUAGGAUGACAGAUGACUAAAGACUCAAAAUGGUUAAGCUGUCAUACUUGGCAGAAUUGACAUAGCUUUGGCCUUUGGGACGAGGUGGUAUGUGUGUAGCUGGUAGCUGGUAGCUAAACCUCUCUGAACAGGGCUAAAGGAUGGUGGUCAUGGGAAUAUAGGAUGACCUACCUCAGUCAAGUUCCAGUGGGUUCUUCUUGACCUUCACACAGGUGUUCUGUUGGAUUACCUCUGGAUUCUGAAAGGCGCCGUCAAUCAUUAAUUGCAAUAUAGUUAAGCUGUUAUAUUGGGCAGAAUUGACAUACAGUGAAACCUUCAAAAUGCACACUCGUAGAAGGUGUGCGUUGCGUUUUUAGAUAGGUUUCACUGUAGCCUCGCACCAUCACGGGUGUGAUCAUAGGACUAGGAGGACAUAUUGCCUUGACCGUUUGUCAUUUGCAUACCACUACCAGGCAAAGUGGCAAAUGCUGACAAGAUCAAAUGAGACCAAGAAUCAAGGGAUUACCACAAUCUUUGCUUAACUGAAGUUUUCAAAAUAGAACAACUCUUAAGUCGCAAGUCUUAACCCUAGUAGCUUUUCUCUCUCUCUCUCUCUACUAGGGUUUGCAAAGGUUAUUUUUCAUGGGAUUUCAUUUCCAUACCUUGGUUGCACUACUAAAUUAAACCUAAAACCAUUGCUUAAAUCUCCUCAUUCAUUCAUCGAAGAAAUCAUCUCAAUCUGCAUUUCUUUCAACAUGGUAUCCACAAGAAGACAACAACAACAACAAGAGGCGAAGAAGAAAAGAGAAGAAACAUUGAAAUCUAUUUACAGCAGUAUAAGAAAAAGAGGAAAAACACUAAGUUCUACUCUUUCGAACGACGUCGCUAGCGGUAUUCUUUCAAGAGUACCUGUGGAGGAUCUCUUACAAUUUCAGUUUGCAUGUAAGUCUUGGUAUACUUUACUACAUGAACCUUUUUUCAUUAAUCUGCAUCUUAAUCAGUCAAUUAGCAACAAGAACUUUGCUUUCAUGGUUCAUAAUUCUUCGACUGAUAUAUAUUCGGUAGGCUGUGAUAUCUCAUCAUCAUUGUUUAAGUUGAACAAAGCUGUCAAGAUUAAUAAUCCAUUUAGGGCAUUUCAUAUCUAUGGUUCAUGUAAUGGGAUAUUCUUGAUGGUUCGUAAUUUGAGUAAUGUGUAUAGAGUAUGCCUGUGGAAUCCAUCUACUGGAGAGUACAAAGAAAUAUCGAACCAACUACCAAAAAUGCCGGCAAAUCCUUUUUUGAGAAUGGAAUAUUGGUUAGGUUAUGAUUUAUCAAGAGAUGAUUAUAAGGUGAUAAGAAUGGGAACCUAUCACAGAGGUACUAUUACUGAUGUAUAUGUGUACUCAAUGAGAACAAAUUCAUGUAAGAGGAUUCAUGAUGUUCCUUAUUUUGUUCUUGGAUUAGUGGCAUACCCACAUUUAUCCAGUGGCGGCGGGAUACUUCUAAAUGAUGCAAUUCAUUGGUUAGGGAAUCCUGUAUCAAAUGCAAAUGGAUUCUUGCUGACCAUUGUUUCUUUUGAUCUUGCCAAUGAUGAGUUCAAAGGCUUACAACUUCCUGACGUACUCCUCGAUACUGAAUCAAAGCGAUUAGGAGUGUUUGAAGAUUGUCUUUGCAUUUACCAUGUUAAUAAGGAUAGCUACAUUGAUGUCUUUAUGAUGAAAGAAUACGGUGUGAAAGAGUCCUGGACAAAAAUGUUUAGCAUAAAUGAUCAACCAAUUCAUCAAGAUAUGAGGAGCUUCAAAACAAUAUGUAUUACCAACAACGGAAAACUUCUGGUGCUGUGGAACCAUACAUAUUUAGCUCUGUAUGACCCAAAACAUGGAGGGCGUAAGUGUGGGAACAUUAAGAUAGAGGGACUUCCAGCAAGAUUUGAGGGAUAUGGCAGCAUUGGUGCUUAUGUUAAGAGCCUUGUGUCACUCGGAGCAAAUACUUGUAAGUUAUAAUUUUAAGCAUAAAGUAGGGUUCACUUUUGGAGUAACUAAAGUAGGGUUCUUCAUAUUUCAUUUUGUAGUAUCAAAUAAAAUUUUCAAGAAUCAGAAGGACAUUCAUUUUCUGUAUAAAUUUCCAUGAAACUGUUGAUCAGCUUAUUGCCAGAGCAGCAAAUUGGGUAAUAUGCAAUUCAGUCAGUGCAGGAAACACCAUACCAUCUUCUCAUG
rnacentral:lncRNA from 1 species